AGAGUUUGAUCAUGGCUCAGAUUGAACGCUGGCGGCAGGCCUAACACAUGCAAGUCGAACGGUAACAGGAAGCAGCUUGCUGUUUUGCUGACGAGUGGCGGACGGGUGAGUAAUGUCUGGGAAACUGCCUGAUGGAGGGGGAUAACUACUGGAAACGGUAGCUAAUACCGCAUAAUGUCGCAAGACCAAAGAGGGGGACCUUCGGGCCUCUUGCCAUCGGAUGUGCCCAGAUGGGAUUAGCUGGUAGGUGGGGUAACGGCUCACCUAGGCGACGAUCCCUAGCUGGUCUGAGAGGAUGACCAGCCACACUGGAACUGAGACACGGUCCAGACUCCUACGGGAGGCAGCAGUGGGGAAUAUUGCACAAUGGGCGCAAGCCUGAUGCAGCCAUGCCGCGUGUAUGAAGAAGGCCUUCGGGUUGUAAAGUACUUUCAGCGGGGAGGAAGGGAGUAAAGUUAAUACCUUUGCUCAUUGACGUUACCCGCAGAAGAAGCACCGGCUAACUCCGUGCCAGCAGCCGCGGUAAUACGGAGGGUGCAAGCGUUAAUCGGAAUUACUGGGCGUAAAGCGCACGCAGGCGGUUUGUUAAGUCAGAUGUGAAAUCCCCGGGCUCAACCUGGGAACUGCAUCUGAUACUGGCAAGCUUGAGUCUCGUAGAGGGGGGUAGAAUUCCAGGUGUAGCGGUGAAAUGCGUAGAGAUCUGGAGGAAUACCGGUGGCGAAGGCGGCCCCCUGGACGAAGACUGACGCUCAGGUGCGAAAGCGUGGGGAGCAAACAGGAUUAGAUACCCUGGUAGUCCACGCCGUAAACGAUGUCGACUUGGAGGUUGUGCCCUUGAGGCGUGGCUUCCGGAGCUAACGCGUUAAGUCGACCGCCUGGGGAGUACGGCCGCAAGGUUAAAACUCAAAUGAAUUGACGGGGGCCCGCACAAGCGGUGGAGCAUGUGGUUUAAUUCGAUGCAACGCGAAGAACCUUACCUGGUCUUGACAUCCACGGAAGUUUUCAGAGAUGAGAAUGUGCCUUCGGGAACCGUGAGACAGGUGCUGCAUGGCUGUCGUCAGCUCGUGUUGUGAAAUGUUGGGUUAAGUCCCGCAACGAGCGCAACCCUUAUCCUUUGUUGCCAGCGGUCCGGCCGGGAACUCAAAGGAGACUGCCAGUGAUAAACUGGAGGAAGGUGGGGAUGACGUCAAGUCAUCAUGGCCCUUACGACCAGGGCUACACACGUGCUACAAUGGCGCAUACAAAGAGAAGCGACCUCGCGAGAGCAAGCGGACCUCAUAAAGUGCGUCGUAGUCCGGAUUGGAGUCUGCAACUCGACUCCAUGAAGUCGGAAUCGCUAGUAAUCGUGGAUCAGAAUGCCACGGUGAAUACGUUCCCGGGCCUUGUACACACCGCCCGUCACACCAUGGGAGUGGGUUGCAAAAGAAGUAGGUAGCUUAACCUUCGGGAGGGCGCUUACCACUUUGUGAUUCAUGACUGGGGUGAAGUCGUAACAAGGUAACCGUAGGGGAACCUGCGGUUG
rnacentral:rRNA from 1 species